CUACGGUGGGCUGCAGUGGGGAAUAUUGCACAAUGGAGGAAACUCUGAUGCAGCAACGCCGCGUGGAGGAUGACACUUUUCGGAGCGUAAACUCCUUUUAUAUAGGAAGAUAAUGACGGUACUAUAUGAAUAAGCACCGGCUAACUCCGUGCCAGCAGCCGCGGUAAUACGGAGGGUGCAAGCGUUACUCGGAAUCACUGGGCGUAAAGAGCGUGUAGGCGGGUUAAUAAGUCAGAAGUGAAAUCCUAUGGCUCAACCAUAGAACUGCUUUUGGAACUGUUAACCUAGAGUGUGGGAGAGGUAGAUGGAAUUUCUGGUGUAGGGGUAAAAUCCGUAGAGAUCAGAAGGAAUACCGAUUGCGAAGGCGAUCUACUGGAACAUAACUGACGCUGAGACGCGAAAGCGUGGGGAGCAAACAGGAUUAGAUACCCCGGUAGUC
rnacentral:rRNA from 1 species